UUGCAUCCACUGAUAGACCUGAAGCGUGCUCCAUUGGCUUCUGGGUUUGCAUAGAGAUGCUAAAGUGAGCUUUCCUUGUGCUUUCUCUCUGCUUAUUGUAUAGCAGUAAAGAUCCACUGAGAAGUACAUCU
rnacentral:snoRNA from 1 species